UGGGGAAUAUUGGACAAUGGGCGAAAGCCUGAUCCAGCCAUGCCGCGUGUGUGAAGAAGGUCUUCGGAUUGUAAAGCACUUUAAGUUGGGAGGAAGGGCAGUAAGCGAAUACCUUGCUGUUUUGACGUUACCGACAGAAUAAGCACCGGCUAACUCUGUGCCAGCAGCCGCGGUAAUACAGAGGGUGCAAGCGUUAAUCGGAAUUACUGGGCGUAAAGCGCGCGUAGGUGGUUCGUUAAGUUGAAUGUGAAAGCCCCGGGCUCAACCUGGGAACUGCAUCCUAAACUGGCGGGCUAGAGUAGGGCAGAGGGUGGUGGAAUUUCCUGUGUAGCGGUGAAAUGCGUAGAUAUAGGAAGGAACACCAGUGGCGAAGGCGACCACCUGGGCUCAUACUGACACUGAGGUGCGAAAGCGUGGGGAGCAAACAGG
rnacentral:rRNA from 1 species